UUCUUUCUGAGCAGAAAAAUCAAUUUUUUUUAAGAUGGAAAGAUUUGAAUAAAAAUUUCACCAAAGAAUAUAUGAAAGUUCCUAAUUAGCACAUAAAAAUGAUCCAUGUCAUUAGUCAUUAGGAAAAUGCAAAUUAAAAUCAGAAUUAAAUGCCAUUGCACGGCCACUAGAAUUGUGUGUUAGUUUUCUCUGUGUUAGUUGGCCUCUAGACUGGUAUUUUCCAUGACAAAAUGCCAUAGAUGGGUGUCUUAAACAAAAGUAAUUUAUUUCUCACAGUUCUGAAGACUGUAAAUCCAAGAUCAAAAUUACAGCAGGUUUAGGUUUUUCUGAGGUUUUUCUCCUUGACACAUAGAUGGCUGCCUUCUCUGUAUGUCCUAAUCUCUUUAUAUAAGGACAUCAAUUGGAUUGGAUUAGGACACCCCAUACACAGACUGAUUUUAAGUUAAUUGCCUCAUUAAAGCUUUAUCUCCAAAAACAGUCACAUUCUGUUGUACUGGUGUAGGACUUCAACAUAUGAAUGGGGGUAGGGCACAACUCAGUCAUCCUGUGGAUACUCAUACAUAGAAUUCUGUCUACAAUAGAAAGGAACACUUUACCAACACAUACUAUGAAAUGUAUGAGUCUCAAAAACAUUAUGCUAAAGGAAAAGAAACCAGAUGCAAAGACCUCAUAUUGCAUGAUUCAAUUUAUAUGAAAUAUCCAGAAAAGACAAACCUAUAGAGACAGAAAGUAUAUUAGUGGUUGCCUGGAACUGGGUUGAGCAAGAGAUGGUGGCUGAAUGAAAAUGCUCUUACUGGGAUGAUGUGAAUGUUCUAAAGUUGGGUUGUGAUGGUAAGACAGAGUUCACACACAGGGAGCUGGGGAUUCUCCACCUGGACCUACCAUGUUGCAGCCAGGAUCUCUGAACCUCAACAAUGAGACCUUUUGGAAGUCAAUGGUACCCUACAGAUAUCAGAGAACAGAUAGCAGACUGGAAUUGUGUGGCAUGCAGACAUGGAGAUGGUUGUGAAGAUGACAAAAGAAGUGAAGAGAAACCAAGUUUUGGUCAUUAUGAAAACUUGUCAGACUAAAGUCCAAAAAGGGCACUAAAAAUAUGCUAUUAAAAAACCAAAGAUGGAUGGGCUGGGGAUGUGGCUCAAGCGGUGGCGCACUCGCCUGGCAUGCACGGGGCACUAGGUUCGAUCCUCAACACCGCGAAAAUAAAAUAGAGAUAUUAUGACCACCUAAAACUAAAAAAUAAAUAUUAAAAAAAAAACAAAGAUGGAUACAGUGGUUACUUGAAGAAAUUGCCAUGAAGGAAUUAAAACUUAAUACAGUAACUAAAUCUACUCUUGAUGAUGAUAUUGACUUUGAAAAAAUCUGAAAAAAGAAGACUUAUCAACUAUUAGUGUAGGAUGACUUUUCCUCACUGAGUUUCAGUAGCACCACUGAAAAGGAUUUUGAAGCCAGAUUCUACUCCACUGAUAGAGCAAUUGCCAGGUUAGCAGUACACUCUCUUUUGAAGAAAAAAAAAAUAGAUGUGCUAAAAGCUUCUGUCCAAGUCUUUAAAGAUGCAAGACAAAAUGCUACCAAAGUUGACUUUUCAAAAAAUACUUCAGAAGAAAAUCAUUUUAAAGAUGCCUUAUGUUCAAAUGAUGAUACAAGGGAAUUACAGCAUGAAGAAACUAUCGCCAGUGAUCAAAAAGUGAAAGAAGCCAAAAUACUGGCCAAGAAACCAAUAAAUAAUUCAAAAGAAAAAAAAUAACCAAGGUGGAACAUGGAUCCAAAAUAGUGAACAUUACAGAUUCUCUGUCAAAGCCUUUGGGAAAGGAUUCUGUAUGUAGUUCUUUGAGAACCUGAGCGGACACCUGCUGAAACAAAAAUAAAAACAUUAAGUCAAAAACAAAGGGGGGGUCUGGUAACUCAGUUAGCAGUAACAGUGAUAACGAAGAACAAUUAUAUGAAGAGAAAAAGGAGUAUUUUGAUGACAGCACAGAAGAAAGCUUCUACAAACAGUCUUCCAGUCCGAGGAUAGUGACAGCGGUGAUGACUUCUUCAAUGGGAUAGCCAGGUGGACACCAAGGAAGGAAAGUAGUUUCCAAUCUUCAGCUAAGGAACAAAAGCCCCUCCAACAAGUGUUAACCAAGGAAGAUACACAUGAAGCCCAUUGGAAUAUAAGAAGUGACAAAAAUACACCCAGUACAGAAGCCAGAAAGUUAGAAUCGGUGUUUCUCCACUCUUUAUCUGGAUCUAAAAUCUCUAGAAGGGAUUAUAGACAACAAGCUCCAAAGAACAAAACCCCAGAUUUUCUGGAAAACAAACCUCAGAUUGAGAAUCAGUUUUAAAAGAGAUGUAAAGAACAGCCAUCAACAAAUACACGAAAAAAUGCUCACCAUCUCUAGCAAUCAGAGAAAUGCAAAUUAAAACUACUCUAAGAUACCAUCUCACUCCAGUAAGAAUGGCAGCCAUUAUGAAGUCAAACAACAACAAGUGCUGGCGAGGAUGCUGUUGAAAAAGGUACACUCAUACAUUGCUGGUGGGACUGCAAAUUGGUGCAGCCAAUUUGGAAAGCAGUAUGGAGAUUCCUUGGAAAACUGGGAAUGGAACAACCAUUUGACCCAGCUAUUCCUCUUCUCGGACUAUACUCAAAAGAGCUAAAAACAGCAUACUACAGGGACACAGCCACAUCAAUGUUUAUAGCAGCACAAUUCACAAUAGUAGACUGUGGAGCCAACCUAGAAGUCCUUCAAAGGAUGAAUGGAUAAAAAAAUGUGGCAUUUAUACACAAUGGAAUAUUACUCAGCACUAAAAAAUAACAAGAUCAUGGCAUUUGCAGGGAAAUGGAUGACAUUAGAGCAGAUUAUGCUAAGUGAAGUUAGCCAAUCCCCAAAAAACAAAUGCCGAAUGUCUUCUCUGAUAUAAGGGAGGUGACUCAAAAUGGGGUAGGGAGGAAGAGCAUGAGAAGAAAAUUACCUCUAGAUAGGAAGAGAGGUGGGAGGGAAAGGAAGGGAGAAGGGGAAUUGCAUGGAAGAGGGAAGGAGACCCCCUUCAUUAUACAGAAUUCAGGUAUGACGAUGUGAGGGGAAAAAAAAGAAUUGUGU
rnacentral:lncRNA from 1 species